AUAAUCCCACCUCUCUCACUUAAAAAAGAGACAAAUAAGAUCAAUUUUUUUAGACUUAGAACAUCAAAUUGUGAGAAAUUUCGACACUAUUCUCUUAAUUCUUUGGAGAGAAAAGAGAGCUGAAAACAAAAAGAAUUUCUAAGUGAAUAGAACUCCGAUAAAACUUAGAAAAUCUGAGAAGAUUUAGAUGAUCCUGUUUGGUUUUAGUCACUGAUUUCUAUUGAAAUUUGAGCUCAAAGUUUUUUGGGUUUUUCUGCUGGUUUUGAGUUGUUCAAGGUUGUUCCUAUAAUUGAUGAGCUCCAUCAUAUUCUUUCAUUUGGCUCAUCUAGCUGUUUUUAAGCAUACUAGUAUGAAAUGAAGCGUGGGUGUUAGUGCUGGGAUUAUGAGACUUGAUCAGUGCUGAAGACUUAAAGUCACCAUACCAUAGUGGCUAAUGAACUGGAUUGGUAAAAAAUAGAACCUGAGGAACCUGAAUGUAAAAGUACUGAUUUUUAUUCUUGCACAAAUUUGAGAGUUGAUUAAUUUAUUGAUAGCCAUGUCUGUAAUAACUCUUAUAUUCAUGACCAAGUUUUUAAUUAAUUUGCGGCAAUAAACUGAAAGACUAAGACCUUACGAAGGUCGUUGGGCCGACCUUCGUUGGCAUCCAGCUUCAUGUAGUUGAUCAUUCAAGGCCUAACUUUCAUGGCCAUAUAAGCUUAUUUGUCAAUAUUCUACUAGAAUGAGCUUCACUUCGAGCCCAAAACUCUUAGAUUCUUCAAUAAUCCAGAAAGUUUUUUCAUAAAA